rnacentral:lncRNA from 1 species
UGGAAAACCCGUUGUCGGACUUGAUUAAUUGCUCUUUGUUGUUCAAAAUGAAUGGUUUCAUUUUUGUAAUUUUCUAAUUGAUCCAAAGUCUUAUAAGUUGAAUUAAUCAAAUUGAAUUUUUCUCGUUCUAUCUCAGAGUAUCCAUUCACUCGAAACUGAUCUGCUUCUAUUUCUAUUUUUCGUAACCGGGCCCGGGCUUUUUCCAGCCGUUCAAUGGCCCUCUCUGCAGUUCUUCUGAAUUUCGAAUACUAUUCAAAAUCCUCAGUUUGCGAUUAUCUAAUAAAUCACUUAAUGAAAGUAGAUUAUCUUUCCAUUCAUCUCAAAACUUCGAUGAUCCCUUCCCGAACCAAACAUGAAUUUUUCGAUUCAUUUGGCUCUCCCACUCAAUUACGUCAACUACUUAUGUAUGGGGGGGUUCCCAUAUCUUUUUUUAAUGUAAUGAGCCUAUCCUCUCCCUCUCUUCUCUAUUCAUAUUCCAAAAUGAAUCUUGCGACUGAUCCCUAAUCCAAGAACAGAAUAUUCGGAGGACUCUUCUGACCAAAUCAAAAUAUAUAAUUGUCAGCAAAGUUGUUUCUUUUUUUCUUCAAAUCCAAAGAAUUCUUCUUACUUUAUAUGGAGGUCAUCGAUUCAGCAUAAAUAAGGGUUGGUUGAAAUACCUAUUUUUCCAAUAUUUUCCAAUCAAAUUUCCAAUACCAAUAAAAGGCUCAAAUCUUUUUAUCAACAUGAGUGUUUUAUAUCGAAAAAAAAAAGUCCAAUAAUUAUUAUUAAUUAUUCAUUUAUUAAUUAUUCAUUUUGAAAACAUUUCUAUUCUAUAGUAAAACAUAGUAGUAGAAAGAGUACCGUGCUGUGUCUGGACUUCAAACUUUAGCUUUAACCAUGUUAAUGGUCCCACAUUAUUGGUUUGGUUAAUAGAGAAUCAAAAUAGAUUUACCAACAAAUCACGAAAUGCUAUGGUUCUUAAAUAUGAUUUGAAAUUUAUUCAGAAGUAAUUCGCGGAAUCAUGCACCCUUUUCCCUUUGGUCCUAGUUAUAACGAAAAAAAGUGCAGCUGGUUGGGUCCAGCCUAUUCUUGAAAUAAACAACUCGCACACACUCCCUUUCCAAAAAAGAUCAAUACACCAAGCACUACACUUAGAUUUAUUGGAUUUGUUGCUAAAAUAUCGGUAUUAAGCCCGAAACUCCCGGCGAAUGGCCAGUUAACCAAAGAAACGAAAGAAUCGGUUACAUUUUUCAUAUGAUCUCCUCUUUUAGAUAGACUAAAAAAAAAAAAAGAACGCAGUUCUUUUUUUUUUCUACGUAAUAUAUAUUUAUUUAAUUUAUUUGUUUUUUAGUAAUUUACCUAUUUCGAAACAGGGUCAAAAAUUCGAUUUCGAAAUCCUUUCUUUGAAUUGGCAAUUGGGGAUUCCCGAUAAGAGGGAUACUUAUUAGUAUUAGGGGCCGGGACUCCUGUCCAUUGCAAAACCCCUCGUUUGUUGCAGCAUCACUUAAAAAGAGGGUUUCCUUUAGACUAAGAAAGGGAAAGAAAAAGGCGAACUGGUAUGCCUAUCCUAAUUCCCCAUCCUCAAAUCAGUCCUUCCAAUUGGAGGAGUUAAAUCUUGAUAGAAUUCAAAAAAGCCAGAAACACGGAUAUAAUAAAUAAGAGAAAAAAAAUAAGUAAAUUGCCCUUCCUAUUUCUAGGAUUAAACAAAAGGAUUCGCAAAUAAAAGUGCUAAUGCUACAACCAGCCCAUAAAUUGUUAAAGCUUCCAUAAAAGCCAGACUAAGCAAUAAAGUACCUCGUAUUUUUCCCUCUGCCUCGGGCUGUCUCGCGAUCCCUUCUACUGCCUGGCCCGCAGCAGUACCUUGACCAACUCCAGGUCCAAUAGAAGCAAGCCCAACAGCCAACCCAGCAGCAAUAACGGAAGCGGCAGAAAUCAGUGGAUUCAUGAUAAGUCCCUCGCACUAAAAUAAAGAAAAACUAAAGAAAUCGUUAAUGAUACAAUCGUCCAAUAAAUUAUGACUUAAUUAUUCCGUCACUAGGAUUCGCCCAGCCGAAGUAACUAAGAACUCCCAAUUGGCGUAAUAAUAAUAUUAUUAUUGAACCAUCAAAACUUUUUAGAUAUCUCUUUUUUAGUUUCGAUCCACAGGCACAACACAGGAUUUUUGUAAAUCCAUACGACUUUUGUUCUUCCAUUUCUUUUUUCGGAACCCUUUUUUGAAUUCUUCGUUCGUUUUCUUUCUUUCAUCUCUUUAUUUUUAUUGAUUCAAUUCCCAGUCAAAGCAUCAAAGCAAAGACGAAAUCGAACAAUUUCUAAAUUUCUAUUAGAAUCCCUAUCGAAAUUCACAAUAAUCACAAGAGUAGGGUGGAUUAGAUAUAUCUUUAGUUCAUAUAUAACUAGCAAUAUCUAAUAUCCCAUAUACAUGUCUUUCUUACAGAACGUAAACCAACUAUUAAUAUCUUAGACUCCAAGUAUUCGUAUCUUAAAGUCAAUCGUAUUCUCGAACCCCUUUUAAAACUCAAAAAAUACACAAGAGUUGGCAUUUGAUUCCAUAUACCUAAUUAUGUACCCCUCGCCGAAUCACCCCGUUUUUUAUAAAUCUCUUUUUUUUUUUUCUAUUCCUUUUCGUUAUCAUUAUCCACCAGGCUACAAUCGAAAUAGACGAAUUCAUUGGGGCGAAUCAUUGCAUAGAACUAAAUAUCAGUAUUUGAUUGAGGUACGGCCAUGCAAUUUAUUAUAUUAAUAUUCUCUUUUGGUCAAUCGUUGAAUUGAAGAAUUGACUAAAAGCAACUAAAAGGGGAAUUAUUUUAUAAAGCAUCUUUCUUUUCUUUUUUUUUAAUCACCCGCCUGUGAUACUAUAAGAAUUUUUAUUCAACUUAUCACUCUUGGUAUUUGCUAUUCGAAUUGAAUGAACAAAAAUGAACAAAACAAUAUAAAGAAAAUAUUAAUUGGCGGGGAGAGGGGGGGAUGAUAUAAUAAGGCCAAAGAGGAAUUUGAGGAAAAAGAUCCUUUAGAUCUCUUUCCUACAAUUCCCCAAUAUCGUAAUUUUUUUCUACGACUCUUGAUCGUAUAUGCGGUAUUUGUAGAUUUAUGUUUGGAUAUGUAUUUUUCCUAAGUAGAAGUAUAAGUAGAUUAUCUUGAGUUACGCAUCCAUUGCCUUUGUUCUAAGCUACAAAAAAAGACUAUUUCGAAAACGAGUCAAUGAUGUCCCUCCAUAGAUUCGCCUAUAUAAGCCGCAGCUAAAGUUGCAAAAAUAAGAGCUUGAAUACCGCUUGUAAAUAAUCCAAGGAACAUGACGGGUAUAGGAACCACUAAAGGUACUAAAGAAACAAGAACAACAACUACUAAUUCAUCGGCUAAUAUAUUCCCAAAAAGUCGAAAACUAAGUGAUAGAGGUUUUGUGAAAUCUUCUAAAAUGUUAAUGGGUAAAAGAAUUGGAGUCGGUUGAAUGUAUUUACUGAAAUAGCCUAAUCCCUUUUUGGAAAGACCCGCAUAGAAGUAUGCUAUUGACGUGAGCAAAGCUAAAGCAACGGUAGUAUUUAUAUCAUUCGUGGGUGCGGCUAACUCCCCAUGAGGUAACUCUAUGAUUUUCCAAGGUAAAAGAGCACCUGACCAAUUAGAAACAAAAAUAAAAAGAAACAGAGUUCCAAUAAAGGGAACCCAUGGGCCAUAUUCUUCUCCAAUCUGAGUUUUGCUCACGUCUCGAAUGAAUUCAAGGACAUAUUCGAAGAAAUUUUGAGUGGCAGUCGGAACGGUUUGUGGAUUCCGAACGGCUAUAAAGGCUGAACCUAAUAAGAUAGCAAUUACAACCCAAGAAGUAAUAAGUACUUGGGCAUGGACCUGGAACCCACCUAUUUGCCAAUAGAAAUGUUGGCCUACUUCCACACCGGAUAUAUCGUAUAACCCCCUUAGUGUAUUCAUGGAACAUGAUAGAACAUUCAUAUUGCCCUCUGACCGAAAUAGAAAUUUAAAAAGAAUUAUUUUGAUUCAAUUUCUUUUCGAUUGUUUUAUUGUUAUUUUGAAUAUCUGCUUUGCAUAAUAUCCCAGGUUUGUCUUUUUUUUUUGCAAUUCAGGAAUAGUACCAAUCAUAAUCUAUGGUUACAAAUAAUUUAUUUAUCUUAUUAUUAAUCAAGGAUUUGUAUAUAGCUAACGACCCUACAAAUUGCGAAUACUAUUUGUUAAGAAUUAAUCGAUUGGCUAUGCGUCAUCGUUUGCUGAAUCGAAUAUCUCGAGAUCGGGUCACAAUUUGUAUCGAUUAAACAAUUGUUGGAAUUCCAAGUGAUACAUUCUCGAAGCCGUAUAUUCUUCUUGCUGAUCAACGACGAUUACAAUUCGGUACUCUCAUUAUUUAAUCCGCAGUUUUUUUUUUUUUUUUUUUUUUUUUUUUUUUUUCUUUUUUUUUUUUUUUUUUUGGUUUUUUUUAUAUUUUCAUCGCCGACUUCCGUUAAUUUAGAACAACAAAAAAGAUCGACAGUCUAAAAAUCGAUUUGAAGAACAAUUAUCGUCUCAAACGUAUCUCGGAUAAUAUAUACGAUAGAUAUUGUAAUCGUCUUAUCAAAAAAAUAUAGCUCUUCGAAAUUAUCACUUGGGAUUCAAAAUUUGUUUAAUCGAUACAAAUUUGACCCCGAUCUCGCAGAUAUUCGAUUCAGCAACGAUGACCUAUAGCUCAAUCCGAUAAUUCUUAACAAAUUAGUAUCGCAAUUUGUGAGGUCGCUCUAGCUAUAUACGAAAUCCUUGAUUAAUAAUAGAUAAAUAAAUUAUUUUGUAACUCAUAAUUUAUGGAUUGGUACUUCCUGAAUUGCACAAAAAAAAGACAAACCUGGUGGAUAUUAUGCAAUUAGCAGAUAUUCAAAAUAUACAAUUCAAGUAGACAAGUCGAAAAGAAGAUGGUUGAAUCAAAAUAAUUCUUUUUAAAUUUCUAUUUCGGUCAGAGGGCAAUAUGAAUGUUCUAUCAUGUUCCAUGAAUACACUAAGGGGGUUAUACGAUAUAUCCGGUGUGGAAGUAGGCCAACAUUUCUAUUGGCAAAUAGGUGGGUUCCAGGUCCAUGCCCAAGUACUUAUUACUUCUUGGGUUGUAAUUGCUAUCUUAUUAGGUUCAGCCUUUAUAGCCGUUCGGAAUCCACAAACCGUUCCGACUGCCACUCAAAAUUUCUUCGAAUAUGUCCUUGAAUUCAUUCGAGACGUGAGCAAAACUCAGAUUGGAGAAGAAUAUGGCCCAUGGGUUCCCUUUAUUGGAACUCUGUUUCUUUUUAUUUUUGUUUCUAAUUGGUCAGGUGCUCUUUUACCUUGGAAAAUCAUAGAGUUACCUCAUGGGGAGUUAGCCGCACCCACGAAUGAUAUAAAUACUACCGUUGCUUUAGCUUUGCUCACGUCAAUAGCAUACUUCUAUGCGGGUCUUUCCAAAAAGGGAUUAGGCUAUUUCAGUAAAUACAUUCAACCGACUCCAAUUCUUUUACCCAUUAACAUUUUAGAAGAUUUCACAAAACCUCUAUCACUUAGUUUUCGACUUUUUGGGAAUAUAUUAGCCGAUGAAUUAGUAGUUGUUGUUCUUGUUUCUUUAGUACCUUUAGUGGUUCCUAUACCCGUCAUGUUCCUUGGAUUAUUUACAAGCGGUAUUCAAGCUCUUAUUUUUGCAACUUUAGCUGCGGCUUAUAUAGGCGAAUCUAUGGAGGGACAUCAUUGACUCGUUUUCGAAAUAGUCUUUUUUUGUAGCUUAGAACAAAGGCAAUGGAUGCGUAACUCAAGAUAAUCUACUUAUACUUCUACUUAGGAAAAAUACAUAUCCAAACAUAAAUCUACAAAUACCGCAUAUACGAUCAAGAGUCGUAGAAAAAAAAUUACGAUAUUGGGGAAUUGUAGGAAAGAGAUCUAAAGGAUCUUUUUCCUCAAAUUCCUCUUUGGCCUUAUUAUAUCAUCCCCCCCUCUCCCCGCCAAUUAAUAUUUUCUUUAUAUUGUUUUGUUCAUUUUUGUUCAUUCAAUUCGAAUAGCAAAUACCAAGAGUGAUAAGUUGAAUAAAAAUUCUUAUAGUAUCACAGGCGGGUGAUUAAAAAAAAAGAAAAGAAAGAUGCUUUAUAAAAUAAUUCCCCUUUUAGUUGCUUUUAGUCAAUUCUUCAAUUCAACGAUUGACCAAAAGAGAAUAUUAAUAUAAUAAAUUGCAUGGCCGUACCUCAAUCAAAUACUGAUAUUUAGUUCUAUGCAAUGAUUCGCCCCAAUGAAUUCGUCUAUUUCGAUUGUAGCCUGGUGGAUAAUGAUAACGAAAAGGAAUAGAAAAAAAAAAAAGAGAUUUAUAAAAAACGGGGUGAUUCGGCGAGGGGUACAUAAUUAGGUAUAUGGAAUCAAAUGCCAACUCUUGUGUAUUUUUUGAGUUUUAAAAGGGGUUCGAGAAUACGAUUGACUUUAAGAUACGAAUACUUGGAGUCUAAGAUAUUAAUAGUUGGUUUACGUUCUGUAAGAAAGACAUGUAUAUGGGAUAUUAGAUAUUGCUAGUUAUAUAUGAACUAAAGAUAUAUCUAAUCCACCCUACUCUUGUGAUUAUUGUGAAUUUCGAUAGGGAUUCUAAUAGAAAUUUAGAAAUUGUUCGAUUUCGUCUUUGCUUUGAUGCUUUGACUGGGAAUUGAAUCAAUAAAAAUUAAAGAGAUGAAAGAAAGAAAACGAACGAAGAAUUCAAAAAAGGGUUCCGAAAAAAGAAAUGGAAGAACAAAAGUCGUAUGGAUUUACAAAAAUCCUGUGUUGUGCCUGUGGAUCGAAACUAAAAAAGAGAUAUCUAAAAAGUUUUGAUGGUUCAAUAAUAAUAUUAUUAUUACGCCAAUUGGGAGUUCUUAGUUACUUCGGCUGGGCGAAUCCUAGUGACGGAAUAAUUAAGUCAUAAUUUAUUGGACGAUUGUAUCAUUAACGAUUUCUUUAGUUUUUCUUUAUUUUAGUGCGAGGGACUUAUCAUGAAUCCACUGAUUUCUGCCGCUUCCGUUAUUGCUGCUGGGUUGGCUGUUGGGCUUGCUUCUAUUGGACCUGGAGUUGGUCAAGGUAACUGCUGCGGGCCAGGCAGUAGAAGGGAUCGCGAGACAGCCCGAGGCAGAGGGAAAAAUACGAGGUACUUUAUUGCUUAGUCUGGCUUUUAUGAAGCUUUAACAAUUUAUGGCUGGUUGUAGCAUUAGCACUUUUAUUUGCGAAUCCUUUUGUUUAAUCCUAGAAAUAGGAAGGGCAAUUUACUUAUUUUUUUUCUCUUAUUUAUUAUAUCCGUGUUUCUGGCUUUUUNAUUUCGAUUUAGAAUGGAUCUUUGAAAAUUCAAUUCGAGGGGGGGGCGUCAGACUUUUCUACGAAACUCGCUUAAAUAUGAAGUGAAUGAAAAGAGGAAGAGGGGGGCAUACGCAAAAACGCCCAUCCAACGUUUUUUAAUUCAAACUCUUGUGAUCGAUGUUCCCCGCUUGCGGGACCACAAAUGCAUUCAGUUCCAUUUUCGUAUUAUUUGAAUUCGAUUUCAAUUUGUGAAAAAAGAUCUGGUUGAGAAAUAAUUUUUUUAAUUCGAAAAAAAAAAAAAAGAAAAAGACGUACACGUAUAUUUUAUCAAAUAUAUACUUAAGAGGUUGCUCAACGGAAUUGAAAAUUUUUAUUCUGCCGGUCUGGGACGGAAGGAUUCGAACCUCGAAUACCGGGACCAAAACCCGUUGCCUUACCACUUGGCGACGCCCCAUUUCAAUUUCGAUUUGGUACUAAUAAAGAGUACCAGUGGUAUUGGCUGUUCGUCAAUUCCAGUCAAAGCCCCAAAAUUCGAUUCUGAUUUUAGUGUUAGGAUUUUGAACACAUAUAGGUGUAAAAUACAACUUAAUUAUUGAUCAUUACAUAGAAUUCAAUUAAGAUAUUGUAUGAAAGUAUGAUUUCUUCAAUUCUCACACGAGAAUAGAAGGAUUUUUGUUUUGAUUGGGUUCGGUUCCAAGAAGUUUUUUUUGUCUACCUUACUUUCUUUUCUUCAUUUUUAUCUUAUAUCAAUAAGAUAUUAAUAACUCAAUCAAAAAUAAAAUUAUCUCCAAGAACAAAAUGUUUGUUAUGCUUAAUAUCUUUAGUUUAAUGUAUAUCUGUCUUAAUUCUGCCUUUAUUCGAGUAGUUUUUUAUUCGCUAAAUUACCCGAGGCCUACGCUUUUUGAAUCCAAUUGUAGAUAUUAUUGCCAGUAAUACCUGUUCUAUUUUUUCUCUUAGCCUUUGUUUGGCAAGCUGCUGUAAGUUUUCGAUAAGAUCUUUAAUAUUGUGCUAGAAAAAUUCAUGAUUUAUUCUAGUUCGAAAAAAAAAAAUUCUAACAAUUAAUAAAUAAGAGCAGAUGAGUCUUACAAUAUGAACGAACCCCCGCCUCAUUCAAACAUUCAAACAAUGAAAUUCUUGGGAACCGCGAUCCAUUUUGAUCCCCCAUUUGCUAUUUGCAAUUUUGACCCUUUUUCACUGAAACCAUCUUAUAUUAGAGCCAACCAAAAUGUAGAAUUCUAAUUGUGUGAAUUUAAUUUAUGAAAACGAUUUUCUAUUUAGAGAAUCAAAUUCUAAAAAGAACUUCAUUUCUUGAUGUCAAAAUUGGAUAUGUAGUAUAAAAAUAGAGAAUCUAUUCUCUUUUUCCUUUUCCCCAAAAACCUGAUUUGGAGAUUGUGUAAUGCUUACUCUCAAACUCUUUGUUUACACCGUAGUGAUAUUCUUUGUUUCGCUCUUCAUCUUCGGAUUCCUGUCUAAUGAUCCAGGGCGUAAUCCCGGACGCGAAGAAUAAAAAAGGAAGGAGUUGCUUACUUUAUUCGUAUAAACGUUCUUAGGAUUUUUUGAUUCCCAGUUACUAUUAAAAAUAAAGUAAAAAGUGUUCGCUAAAGUUAAAUUUGAAAAAUACCAAGCCAUCGCCCGAAACGGAAAGAGAGGGAUUCGAACCCUCGUACGAAAGAACUCGUACACCGGAUUAGCAAUCCGACGCUUUAAUCCACUCAGCCAUCUCUCCUAAUUGAAAAUAAAAAAAUAAAAAAAAAAAUGACUAUGUUACAUUACACAAAAAAUAAUGCUUGAAAAAGCCCGUCUUUACUUGAUUUUCUAUCUUUACUUUCUAUAUUCUCUUCUAUAUUCUCUAGAAGAGAAUAUAGAAAGUAAAUUGAUUAUAUAGCUCAUAGAAAAUAUAGCUUAUAGAAUUUCUUUUUUUUAUUGUCUUUUGUAUUCUAUUAUAUAAAUAGAUAUAACUUUUAUCAGCAAUUCCAUUUCUAUCAUUUUUCGAAAAUUAAAAUAAAGAAAGUAUUCGAAAGAGAUAAAAUAGAAAAAAAAUAAAGAAAAGAAUAUCUCUUUAAUUUCGUUCAACGGGGCCUUUUUUAUUUCCACUUCCACGGCCUGGCCUGGUCAGUACCCAGCCGGGCCUUUUUUUGUUCUAAUGACCCAUACCGCUGAACCGUAGAAAGGGUGCGAACCAUACCAUAAAAAAACGAUUUAUUUGAAUUUGAUUUGAAAACCACAAAAUGAAAUCCUUGUUAUUGUAUUCAAAGGAACAAUAAAAAGAAGGACUAUUUCCAUUCUUUUGAUUGAAUCAAGAAUCCAAAUUUGUAUUUGGUGUGUGGAUAAAAGUUAUUUUGUCGAGCCAUAUCUGUCAAAAUUCGUCCAACAAAAGAAAUUGUUUUGAAUUAUUAAAUUUAGUUAUUUAAACGAAAUAACUCCUCCUUUACGAGGACUCCUGACAAAGACGUCAACGUUCUAAUUUCCAAUUUUCAUUUCAUGAUUAUUUUAAAUUUAUGUCCUAUCUUGAUUACAUCUGAUUCUCUUGUUCGACAAAGGGCCCUUUUUAUACAAUAAUCGCAUUGUAGCGGGUAUAGUUUAGUGGUAAAAGUGUGAUUCGUUCAAUUAAUCCCUUAAUAGUUAAGGGUCCUUCAGUUUAAUUGAUAUUUCAAUCAAAAACUUUAUUUCUUAAAAGGAUUCAAUUUUAAUCCUUUCACUCUCAAAUUUAAAUAAAAGAUUCGGAGAAAAAUAUCCGUUCUCGUGAUUUGUAUCCAAGAGUCAAUUCGAAAUUGACAAUUUGGAUUAUGAA